rnacentral:hammerhead_ribozyme from 1 species
AUCAAGUUGAUGAGUGCCAAAUAGGACGAAACGCGCGUCCUGGAU